rnacentral:rRNA from 1 species
GCAGCAGCCGCGGGAAUACGAAGGGGGCUAGCGUUGCUCGGAAUCACUGGGCGUAAAGGGUGCGUAGGCGGGUCUUUAAGUCAGGGGUGAAAUCCUGGAGCUCAACUCCAGAACUGCCUUUGAUACUGAAGAUCUUGAGUUCGGGAGAGGUGAGUGGAACUGCGAGUGUAGAGGUGAAAUUCGUAGAUAUUCGCAAGAACACCAGUGGCGAAGGCGGCUCACUGGCCCGAUACUGACGCUGAGGCACGAAAGCGGGGGGAGCAAACAGGAUUAGAGACCCCUGUAGUCCCUGUCUCUUAUAC